AAAAAAGAAAUGUGCCUGUCGGCUAGAUAAGCAGCAUGGUUGACUCUAGCUACUAACUUGUGACAUCAUAAUUUACAAUUCGGAAAAGGGCCAAAAAUACCCUUAGACUAUUUGAAAAGGUUCAAUGUUACCCCUCAUCCACCUAUUGGGUUAAAAAUACCCCUCAAUCCACCUAUUUGGUUUGUUUCUACCCUUAAAACUAACAACCUUUUAAAAAAAAUUAUUAUUAUUAUCACUUAUUAUUUUUCUUUUUUAUUGGAUAAAUCAAAU
rnacentral:misc_RNA from 1 species